CAACUCUAGAGAUAGAGUCUUCCCCUUCGGGGGACAAAGUGACAGGUGGUGCAUGGUUGUCGUCAGCUCGUGUCGUGAGAUGUUGGGUUAAGUCCCGCAACGAGCGCAACCCUUAAGCUUAGUUGCCAGCAUUAAGUUGGGCACUCUAAGUUGACUGCCGGUGACAAACCGGAGGAAGGUGGGGAUGACGUCAAAUCAUCAUGCCCCUUAUGAUUUGGGCUACACACGUGCUACAAUGGACAAUACAAAGGGCAGCUAAACCGUGAGGUCAUGCAAAUCCCAUAAAGUUGUUCUCAGUUCGGAUUGUAGUCUGCAACUCGACUACAUGAAGCUGGAAUCGCUAGUAAUCGUAGAUCAGCAUGCUACGGUGAAUACGUUCCCGGGUCUUGUACACACCGCCCGUCACACCACGAGAGUCUGUAACACCCGAAGCCGGUGGAGUAACCAUUUAUGGAGCUAGCCGUCGAAGGUGGGACAAAUGAUUGGGGUGAAGUCGUAACAAGGUAGCCGUAUCGGAAG
rnacentral:rRNA from 1 species